rnacentral:lncRNA from 1 species
UUUUUUUAUACUAUUUAGUGUAAGCCAUAUAAUAAAGUCAUUGGCAAAUGAGAUUUGGUAUAUCAUUUGAUGAGAACAUGUUUACAGCAACGCUGGGUUACAUCCAGCUAGGGCGGGGAAUUUUCUCUUCUUAUUUUAAUUUGGUGAAAGAUAUGCAACACUAGGAAGAAAAGAGGAAAAAAAGAAAAAAGGAAUAUAUGCUCAUAAAAUCAUG